rnacentral:tRNA from 1 species
GGAUGUGGCUCAAGCGGUAGUGCGCUCGCCUGGCAUGUGCGUGGCACUGGGUUCGAUCCCCAGCACCA